AGAAAGAGAGAAAAGUGUAGAUGAAUAAAUAAAGUUUUUUGUCAUAACAUAUAUGUUUGUUAUGCUUGACAAUGAUCAAAAUUGCCUUGUCCUGUAACUAAAACCAUACACAUACACAUAUACAUAUCUAUGUAAAUAAAAACUUUAUAUUUAUAUAUAAAAUGAAAUGAAAGAAAUAAAAACAGGUUGAAAGAGACAGAGAGAGAGGGAAUCAAAAGACUCCAAACAAGGUCGUCCAUCCUUAAUAGAAAAAGGAAAAAUGUUUCAACAAUACAAUUAUUAAAUAAAUAACAAUACAAUACACAAAAAAACAUUAUAUGAAUAAUAAGGAAAGUGGGUUCCACCACAAUCUGGGUCUACUUUAUAAAAGAUAGAGUGAUUUUUGUAGGAGCACUCACCUUGGUGUCGUUGGAAAAUCUACUACUAUUACUAUACUAGCUAGCCCAUUUCUUCAUUGCUUUCUAUUUUAGUGGAAUGGCCCCUCUUCUUAGCCUUUGUAAUCACUCUUUUUUGUUUCAAAAAAAAAAAAAAGUGUAAUCACUCUUUUUCCUUUUCGCAAUUUUUCUCUUUACAAAAAUAAUAAUAAUAAAAAAAAAUGUUGUAACACCUAACUAAAUUAUAAAAGCAAUUGAUUCCUAAAGAGGAGGAGAAGGAGAAGGAGUACUUCUACCACCCAAACUGCCCUGGCUGCAAGGUCCAACAAUAUAAAGAUUUGCAGCAAGGUUUCCCUGUUCGAGACCUAUUUCGCAUUUGGGCUAUUGUCCUCGCCAGUGGUGGAACUUCAGUUUUUAUUGAGUUGAGAGCGUUGUUGGAAGAUGUUAUAGCUUUAUUGUCUAAAUUUCCGGGGGCAGUUUUGUCCCAUGGGGCUCGCUCUAAGUUUUUAGCGGCCUAUGGUUGGCAAAGCAUGCUCUGCGGUUAGACGAUGAGCUAUCCUGGUUCGAGGAGGUUCCAGCGCCGGUGGCAGACGUGGGCGUCGUAAAUUCAUGAGUGAUUUUAAUCACUUUGUCAAAAAAAAAAUAAUAAUAAUAAUAAUAAUAAUAGAUUCCAUAAUAAUAAUGAAAUAGUAAAGUUUUAUUUACACUAUACAUUUAUAAAGAUAUAUUAUUUUAAUAAUUUUUAUUUUGUUUAAAAUAUAUAUUAUUUAUUUAUACUGAUUUUUUAAUUCAUUUCUUCUUUUU